rnacentral:rRNA from 1 species
GAUGAACGCUGGCGGCGUGCUUAACACAUGCAAGUCGAACGGAAAGGCCCAAGCUUGCUUGGGUACUCGAGUGGCGAACGGGUGAGUAACACGUGGGUGAUCUGCCCUGCACUUCGGGAUAAGCCUGGGAAACUGGGUCUAAUACCGGAUAGGACCACAUUUUGGAUGGUGUGGUGGAAAGUUUUUCGGUGUGGGAUGAGCUCGCGGCCUAUCAGCUUGUUGGUGGGGUAAUGGCCUACCAAGGCGUCGACGGGUAGCCGGCCUGAGAGGGUGUACGGCCACAUUGGGACUGAGAUACGGCCCAGACGCCAACGGGAGGCAGCAGUGGGGAAUAUUGCAGAAUGGGCGCAAGCCUGAUGCAGCGACGCCGCGUGGGUGAUGACGGCCUUCGGGUUGUAAACUACUUUCGCUAGGGACGAAGCGCAAGUGACGGUACCUGGAGAAGAAGCACCGGCUAACUACGUG